UACGUAGGGUGCAAGCGUUGUCCGGAAUUAUUGGGCGUAAAGAGCUCGUAGGCGGUCUGUCGCGUCGGCUGUGAAAACCCGGGGCUCAACCCCGGGCCUGCAGUCGAUACGGGCAGACUAGAGUGCGGUAGGGGAGACUGGAAUUCCUGGUGUAGCGGUGAAAUGCGCAGAUAUCAGGAGGAACACCGGUGGCGAAGGCGGGUCUCUGGGCCGAUACUGACGCUGAGGAGCGAAAGCAUGGGGAGCGAACAGG
rnacentral:rRNA from 1 species